rnacentral:rRNA from 1 species
AGUUGCCAUCAUUAAGUUGGGCACUCUAAAGAGACUGCCGGUGUCAAACCCGGAGGAAGGUGGGGAUGACGUCAAGUCCUCAUGGCCUUUAUGACCAGGGCUACACACGUACUACAAUGGCAGGUACAAAGGGCAGCCACUUAGCGAUAAGGCGCGAAUCCCGUAAAACCUGUCUCAGUCCGGAUUGGAGUCUGCAACUCGACUCCAUGAAGUUGGAAUCGCUAGUAAUCGCGGAUCAGCACGCCGCGGUGAAUACGUUCCCGGGCCUU